GGCUUCGUGGCCCAAUGGUAAGGCGUCUGACUACGAGUAAUCGAUCGCCUUGAUUGAUUCCUGAAGUUAAUCAGGAGAUUCUGGGUUCGAGCCCCAGCGAGGUCA